GUGAACCUGCGGAAGGAUCAUUG
rnacentral:ncRNA from 227 species